rnacentral:rRNA from 1 species
AACGCUAGCUACAGGCUUAACACAUGCAAGUCGAGGGGCAUCAGGAAGAAAGCUUGCUUUCUUUGCUGGCGACCGGCGCACGGGUGAGUAACACGUAUCCAACCUGCCCUUUACUCGGGGAUAGCCUUUCGAAAGAAAGAUUAAUACCCGAUAGCAUAAUGAUUCCGCAUGGUUUCAUUAUUAAAGGAUUCCGGUAAAGGAUGGGGAUGCGUUCCAUUAGGUUGUUGGUGAGGUAACGGCCCACCAAGCCUUCGAUGGAUAGGGGUUCUGAGAGGAAGGUCCCCCACAUUGGAACUGAGACACGGUCCAAACUCCUACGGGAGGCAGCAGUGAGGAAUAUUGGUCAAUGGGCGCUAGCCUGAACCAGCCAAGUAGCGUGAAGGAUGAAGGCUCUAUGGGUCGUAAACUUCUUUUAUAUAAGAAUAAAGUGCAGUAUGUAUACUGUUUUGUAUGUAUUAUAUGAAUAAGGAUCGGCUAACUCCGUGCCAGCAGCCGCGGUAAUACGGAGGAUCCGAGCGUUAUCCGGAUUUAUUGGGUUUAAAGGGAGCGUAGGUGGACUGGUAAGUCAGUUGUGAAAGUUUGCGGCUCAACCGUAAAAUUGCAGUUGAUACUGUCAGUCUUGAGUACAGUAGAGGUGGGCGGAAUUCGUGGUGUAGCGGUGAAAUGCUUAGAUAUCCCGAAGAACUCCGAUUGCGAAGGCAGCUCACUGGACUGCAACUGACACUGAUGCUCGAAAGUGUGGGUAUCAAACAGGAUUAGAUACCCUGGUAGUCCACACAGUAAACGAUGAAUACUCGCUGUUUGCGAUAUACAGUAAGCGGCCAAGCGAAAGCAUUAAGUAUUCCACCUGGGGAGUACGCCGGCAACGGUGAAACUCAAAGGAAUUGACGGGGGCCCGCACAAGCGGAGGAACAUGUGGUUUAAUUCGAUGAUACGCGAGGAACCUUACCCGGGCUUAAAUUGCAGUGGAAUGAUGUGGAAACAUGUCAGUGAGCAAUCACCGCUGUGAAGGUGCUGCAUGGUUGUCGUCAGCUCGUGCCGUGAGGUGUCGGCUUAAGUGCCAUAACGAGCGCAACCCUUAUCUUUAGUUACUAACAGGUUAUGCUGAGGACUCUAGAGAGACUGCCGUCGUAAGAUGUGAGGAAGGUGGGGAUGACGUCAAAUCAGCACGGCCCUUACGUCCGGGGCUACACACGUGUUACAAUGGGGGGUACAGAAGGCAGCUAGCGGGUGACCGUAUGCUAAUCCCAAAAUCCUCUCUCAGUUCGGAUCGAAGUCUGCAACCCGACUUCGUGAAGCUGGAUUCGCUAGUAAUCGCGCAUCAGCCACGGCGCGGUGAAUACGUUCCCGGGCCUUGUACACACCGCCCGUCAAGCCAUGGGAGCCGGGGGUACCUGAAGUACGUAACCGCAAGGAUCGUCCUAGGGUAAAACUGGUGACUGG